AGUGAACGCUGGCGGUAGGCCUAACACAUGCAAGUCGAACGGCAGCACAGUAAGAGCUUGCUCUUACGGGUGGCGAGUGGCGGACGGGUGAGGAAUACAUCGGAAUCUACUUUUUCGUGGGGGAUAACGUAGGGAAACUUACGCUAAUACCGCAUACGACCUACGGGUGAAAGCAGGGGAUCUUCGGACCUUGCGCGAUUGAAUGGGCCGAUGUCGGAUUAGCUAGUUGGCGGGGUAAAGGCCCACCAAGGCGACGAUCCGUAGCUGGUCUGAGAGGAUGAUCAGCAACACUGGAACUGAGAUACGGUCCAGACUCCUACGGGAGGCAGCAGUGGGGAAUAUUGGACAAUGGGCGCAAGCCUGAUCCAGCCAUACCGCGUGGGUGAAGAAGGCCUUCGGGUUGUAAAGCCCUUUUGUUGGGAAAGAAAAGCAGCAGGUUAAUACCCCGCUGUUCUGACGGUACCCAAAGAAUAAGCACCGGCUAACUUCGUG
rnacentral:rRNA from 1 species